UACUCGUACUCUCCAAAAAUGUUGUCUCACCCGUGUCGAAUUCAAAAAUACACUAUUUUUGGAGUAUCCGACGCACAACCUUCGAUAUUUUUGAAGAGUCUGAGCAAC